rnacentral:lncRNA from 1 species
UGUUUGCACCAAAGGCUCUGUCCCUUCCUUCACAUUUGCUGAGGGAAACUUCCUUAAGGGGUCAUUGAUGCUUCUCCCCUGGCAUUUCCAGACAUGCCCCUUUUCUGUAGAGAGAGACCAGGACUGAGUUCUGAGGUGUCCCUGUGUUCUCAGCACUUCCCACUUAUUUCUCCUUGAGCAGGGCUUCCAGUAACUAAACCAGCUGUAAUUUCUUUUCUGCAGAGACAUGAAGCCUGGUGGCUAUCAAGGGAGCAGACCCCAGAUGCAUUUCUGAGGGGUCCACUCACUGUGCCUCGCGGGCCGAGGCAAAGAAAUAAGAAGGAAAUGAAACCAGGAAGGAAAAGUGAGGAAGAAGAGGUUUCCAAUCACAGAGGACAGCCAGGGAAAGGGCACAAAGUCAGGAGUGUCAUUUAUAAUGAUAAACAGCCAGAAGGCUAGCAUCACUAGUUUGUGCAAUACUUGGAAGUGAUUGGGUGCAGCUUCUAGGGGAAAUAUAGCUGUAAUCCUGAGGCCCCCAGACCUUGAAAGGAUUGUUGUUCUAACAGUGUUGAUGAUCUUUAGGAAUACUAUAGUAUAGUCCUAGAAAUUUUGCUGACUGUCAGACGACAAUCUAUUGAUCAGUGACAACCAAGUUCCUGAGACAAUAGAGAAUAGAUCACUCCUCAAACCUACCUGUAAGCCAUAAAAUUAACAUAUCAGUAACAUGAAGAACCAGAUCUUUUCCUACAAAUUUGUCUUCUUGCUCCUGGUUCUUUGCUAAAUCUUUUUGGAACUUAGCCCACUUCAGUUGGAUUCAAUUAGUGUUACAAUCACACUAAACUUUGCCCUUGACUUGGAGAUGGGAAAUUCUUUUGAGAUACCUCACAACAUCAAUCUGCAAUCUCAGCCUUUUGAGGUCUCUUUUGAACCUCAACAGAAGGAAGUUAAAAUUUAAAGAAAUUGGAAAGGGAGUAAACAAGGGGCGGAAAGCCAAUAAGAGAAUUUUAUAUUCAAUUCUGAAGAUGAUAAAGAGUGACUGGAAUUUCUCAAAUGGAGGUCACAUAGUCAGACCUGCACUCUGAUGAUCCAUUGAACAGCUAAGUGGGAAGAGAACUGGUACAUAGAAACCAACCAAACAGCCAUAACAAGAGUCCAGCUUGAGAUAAGGAGCACCUGACAGAUGGUGACAGCAUUGUAAGCGGAGAAAAGGAGAUGGACUUGAAUAAGAAAAAGGCAUCUGAAUAACCAUUUUGCUCCUUUUGGCCUCAAUUGCGCCCUCUAUAAAAUGCAAGGGGGAAACCAGCAAUCCCGUUUUUAUUUUUGUAGUUUUUUAAAAGAUAUAAA